CCUUGUUAUUACUUGCCAGCAUUAAGUUGGGCACUCUAAUGAGACUGCCGGUGACAAACCGGAGGAAGGUGGGGAUGACGUCAAGUCAUCAUGCCCCUUAUGACCUGGGCUACACACGUGCUACAAUGGGCAGUACAACGAGAAGCAAGCCUGCGAAGGCAAGCGAAUCUCUGAAAGCUGUUCUCAGUUCGGACUGCAGUCUGCAACUCGACUGCACGAAGCUGGAAUCGCUAGUAAUCGCGGAUCAGCACGCCGCGGUGAAUACGUUCCCGGGCCUUGUUCACACCGCCCGUCACACCAUGGGAAUCUGCUAUGCCCAAAGCCGGUGGCCUAACCUUCGGGAAGGAGCCGUCUAAGGCAGGGCAGAUGACUGGGGUUAAGUCCUAACAAGGU
rnacentral:rRNA from 1 species